CGAAUACGAGAUGCUACGGCGUCGAAGCAGUGUAUGUCAGACUUCCAAGAAAAGCUCGCAAUGUCAUAAAUAAAGAAUGCCUGUACCAUAACCGACACAGGUGGGUAGGUAGAGUAUACUAAGGGGCGCGAGAUAACUCUCUCUAAGGAACUCGGCAAAAUAACUCCGUAACUUCGGGAGAAGGAGUGCCUUCUUUAAGAAGGUUGCAAUAACAAGAUCCAAGCAACUGUUUAUCAAAAACACAGGUCUCCGCUAAGUCGUAAGACGAUGUAUGGGGGCUGACGCCUGCCCAGUGCCAGAAGGUUAAAGAAGCUGGUUAGCAAUAGCGAAGCUGGUGACUGAAGCCCUGGUGAACGGCGGCCGUAACUAUAACGGUCCUAAGGUAGCGAAAUUCCUUGUCGGGUAAGUUCCGACCCGCACGAAAGGCGUAAUGAUUUGGAUACUGUCUCGGAGAGGGACUCGGUGAAAUAGACUUGUCUGUGAAGAUGCGGACUACCUGCACCAGGACAGAAAGACCCUAUGAAGCUUUACUGUAACCUGAAAUUGAAAUUGGACUUUAUUUGCGCAGUAUAGGUGGGAGGCGUUGAAAGUAAUCUUGCGGGAUUAGUGGAGCCAUCAGUGAGAUACCACUCCUAUAAUGUUAGAUUUCUAACUUUGGAUCAUGAUCUGGUCAAAGAACAGUUUCAGGCGGGCAGUUUGACUGGGGCGGUCGCCUCCCAAAUGGUAACGGAGGCGUACAAAGGUUUCCUCUGAACGGGUAGAAAUCGUAUCUAGAGUGUAAAGGCAUAAGGAAGCUUGACUGUGAGACCUACAAGUCGAGCAGGGACGAAAGUCGGUCUUAGUGAUCUGACGGUGCUGAGUGGAAAGGCCGUCACUCAACGGAUAAAAGUUACUCUAGGAUAACAGGCUGAUCUCCCCCAAGAGUUCACAUCGACGGGGAGGUUUGGCACCUCGAUGUCGGCUCAUCGCAUCCUGGGGCGGUAGUACGUCCCAAGGGUUGGGCUGUUCGCCCAUGAAAGCGGUACGCGAGCUGGGUUCAGAACGUCGUGAGACAGUUCGGUCCAUAUCCGGUGUAGGCGUUAGAAUAUUGAGAGGAGCCUUCUCUAGUACGAGAGGACCGAGAAGGACAUACCUCUGGUGUACCAGUUAUCGUGCCAACGGUAAACGCUGGGUAGCUAUGUAUGGAGAGGAUAACCGCUGAAAGCAUCUAAGUGGGAAGCCCACCUCAAGAUGAGUAUUCUCAUCA
rnacentral:rRNA from 1 species